rnacentral:lncRNA from 1 species
AUAAUAAUUGACAAUGCAACAGAAAAUGUAAACAAAUAUAAGCAAAACAACAGAUUCAUGGUUACUAAUACUACAAGAACAGGAGGCAACACUAUGCUUAUACUUGGAAAGAGAGUACCCUCAAUCAUAGUAAUAAACCAGGCAACUUUUCUUUAGUGAUGUGGUCCAAUUUUUCCAUCAUCUCAUUUGUCAGGUAAUUUUUGUAAUCUCCUGUCACACCCCGCCGGAAAAAAGUGCUAUUUUCCUGGCUAGACGGUAAUUUUCCGAUUUUAUUCACCUUUAAAUUGCUCAAAUUAUCAAAACUACACAAAUUCAAGAUUUCAUCAAUUACUCCACAAUUUUCUUCUUCUUUUGAAAAUUGACACUCCAAGAAUUCAGAUAAUUUCUUUAAAUGGAAUUUAGGCUCUUUCUUCAAAUCUUCAUAUUUCAAAAACAAAACCCUUUUAGGAUUUUCCAAACUUUGCUUCCAAUACCCCAAAACAUGAUCCCAAAAUGGCCCAUAAAAGCUCAGACCUCUACAAAACUUAUCAAAAGCAUCUUCAAGUGAAUUUUCGCCUUUGUCUUUAGGCCUUAACCUAUUUGUAAAAUGAUAAAAAGAAAUAAAAGUGUCUUUGGUGUUUCUACACAAGUAAAUAAUCUUACAGCCCAAGUCUUCCACAGAUUUUGGAAGAGACAAAAGGGGCAAAUGGGUAGAAAACAAUCUUGGAGAGGUAAAACUAGAAAAAUCAGGAGAAUCAGUAUCAAUACAUACCAUGUCCAAGAAAGGAAGAAGAACAUGAGGAUUAUUAGUAAGCAAAGGGUGGUUUUCUUUAGGAUUAGGAAAACGAACUCGGUUCAUCAAAGCAAAGGUUAGUGCUUUUAACCAAGUUGUGCCUGAUUUAGGAGUAGUAAUAAGGAAGAUAUCGCUUUCUUGAGCUUGAAAAUGGUUUUGACAAGUUACAACACCUUUUAGUAGCCUAGUUGAAUGCCAAAACCCUUGGUAUUGAUGGAGAUGAUUUGCGACCCAACCCUUUUCAGUUGGUAGGGAGACUAUGAAGUCUCUAAAAUCUUGAGAAAAUUCUUUUUAUUGCAAGUAAGCAGCAAGAGAUUCAAGUGUUUGCAUGGUUGUAGUAAAUUAUGGUCUAUAGUUAUUAUUUUCUUUGUGUUGUUCUUGGUUUGGUUAUGUAUGUAUAUACACAGCGGUUCCCAUUUGCAAUAUAUAUAAAAAUUACUAUAAUAUAUAAUAGUAAAUUACAAUUUAGUCUUUAAGGUUUGAUUAUAUCACAACUUCCAUCUCUCUUGUAAUGUUGCUUGAAUCGUAGAAAUAUUGACAAUAUUUUUUUAUCUAAAAAAUUAAAAUAUUAUACACACACAUAACCUAAGCGAUUUUAUGGAAUUAAAAAAAACCAACAAGCUCUGAACAAAUCUAGGUUAGGUUAAUAAUACAAAAUCAGACAAAUUUAUGUCUCUAUGAAUAUUUAAAAUUCAUGAAAAUUAUAUUCUAAAGUCCCAUUUCUGCAUUGUAUAUUGUAAUCCACUCUCAGCUACUUAUAGACACACUAGCAUCAUCAGGUGUAUAUAUAUAUAAUUUUCAAAUUAAAGUGCCACUAAUUGUUGAAUUAUUGCAUCCUCAAAAAAUAAAAAAUUGUUGAAUGAAGACAUAAUUGUACAUAAUAAUUAAUAAAGAUCCAAAGACGGUACAUUCGUAUUUAUAAUAAUUGACAAUGCAGCAGAAAAUGUAAACAAAUAUAAGCAAAACAACAAAUUCAUGGCUACUAAUACUACAAGAAAAAGAGGCAACAUUAUGCUUAUACUUGGAAAGAGAGUACCCUCAGUCAUAGUAAUAAGCCAGGGCAAUUUAUAUACAGAGUGAUAAUUAAAUAAUAUUAUAUUAUUAUUAUUAUUAUUAUUAUAAAUACCUUCUUUCCUUCGCAAGCAAUUUUUAUUACAUAUCAAUCUACAAGCAAAACAACCAUUGAUUAAUCUAAAUUCGUAUUUUAAAUGUUUUCCUUGUGUUGUUUUUGGUUUUGGUUAUGUGUUUAUAUACAGAGUGAUUCUCAUUUGCAAUAUAUAUAUAUAAAUUUCUCAAUAUAUAAAGGUAAGUAACUAUUUAGUCCCUCAAUUUCAAUCAUAUUAUAAUUUCAUCUCUCAUAUUUGGUAAAUAAAUAACCCUUUAAAAUUUUAGUUUCAUUAAACUAUUUAGUUUUUCUAUUUAAAAAAGUACUUAUUCAGAAGUUAAAUAUCUCGUACUACUUUUGAUUACUUGGUUAUUCAUUUUUAAUAUACUUUUACUAUUUAGUUUCUCACAUUUACUAUUGUAUUACAAUCUAGUCCUUCACUUAAUGGUACAAAUAGCACUUUUUGGAUGAAGAACUAUAAAUAGUUUAAUAGAACUAAACUAGGGAUGAAAUAAUAAUUACAAUCUUCUCUCUUUCAAUUUUAGUUAUCCUUUGUUACUUAUCAAUCCACUCUCAAUGAAUUAUAAUCAUUCAACUCAAUAAGAUGUUAACAUUGCUUAAAAUUUUUUAUUUUUAGUUUUUAAUUUCAUUAAAUGCUUCUCAAAAGUCAAAAUACAUAAAAUUUGAAAGUUUUGUAAAUUUUGGAAGAGCAAGAUGGACCAGGCCAGGCCCAAAUUAGGUGGGGCUUCUUGGGAUUUAGGCCUCGAUUGAGCCUUAGCUGUUACUUAAUGGUGAAAAUAACACUUUUGGAUGAAUAAUUAUAAAUAGUUUAAUAAAACUAACUUUAAGAUUAAUUAAUAUAUUUAUCAGGGACGUAAUAAUAAUUAUGACCAACUAUUAGUUAUUUAUUCUAUAAAUGUGAAAUUCCACCCCACUCAUUCUUAGGUAUCUAUCUCUAUUUUGUCAGGACAUCUUGCUGAUAGUGAGCCAAGCACCUAAGCUUUGCUAAUUAAUUAUUGUGGUCUUAUUUAGUAAUUUGAUAAUAUUUUUUAUCUAAAAAAUGAUUUUAUUCAUUAAAAAACAAGAUUUGUAUGCACACAUAUAAGCAAGAAUAAGUAAAAAUUUUUAAGUCAUGACCUAAGGGAUACUAUUAAAAUUAAAACGAACUGACUACAUCCAAAUAAAUCGAAUUAUGUUAGAUUUUUUUUUUUUUGAAUAUUAGGAGAGCAGAUUCGAACAUGAAUCUAUUGUCAGAUCAUAAAUACACUUACUCUUAAAUUAUAUCUUGAUGUACCGAAUUAAGUUAGAUCAGCAAUAUAAUAAAGCAAUAGUAAAAUAAGACAAAUUAUGUCUAUUAAUACUAAAAAUUCUAGAAAAUUAGAUACCUCUCUUCUUCUCUAUAUAUAUCUAUCUAUAGUAGCUUGAUAAAAAAAAUAUCUACCAAUUUCACUUAAAUUAAUCAACUUAUGUGCAGCUUGAUUUCCUUUACGAAAAAAAUGCAAGAUAGUAUCUUAUCAUUCACUGUGUAGGAACUGAUGAAUACUAUCAUUAUUGUCUUUUGUAACUUGAAAGUAAUUAGAAAGUUGAUUAGCAUAUUAAACACAUUAAAAUUAUACUUUUAAAAAAAUAAUUUACUUGGAAGUGCACUUCUCAUAAAGUAUUCUUCUUGGAAAAUAGAUUGUUUGAAAUCAAACAAGGCCUUUGUUUUCACCACCCAACUUUCCUAAGCAUCUUAGUAUUCUGGAAAAUACUUAUUUAGACCGGAUUUAUAAUUACAUCUUAAAUCCUUUUUGUGUGAUUUAGCAUGUAAAUGGAAGAAUAUUUAAUUAUUUAUUCUAUCUUUUUUGUGUAUCAAAAACCUUUAAUGGAAAGUGAUAGUUGUUCCAGAAGUCGUACUAUACUGUUAUAUAAUGAGAUCAAAUUAAAAUUAAAAAUUUCACAAAUUGGUCAAUUAAUUUUAUAGUGCUUUUUUAAGUAUCUCGAAGAUUAAAAAUGUUGCUAUAUGAUUAUUAAUUAUUUUCAAGCAAUUUUUUUUUUUUUUACAUUGUUUGCUAUUUGAUGACUUUUAGUGAUUAAUCAAUUUAAUCAUUUUAUAAUAAUCACCAUGUUAAUUAGCCUUGCAAAAUUACAGAAACCCUAAUAUUGGCUUAUUAUCCACUAGCAAAUGAAUAAUUAAACUGGAAAGUUAACAAUGAUAAUUCAAUCAUUUAGAAAAUUUUAAUUAAAUAUUAUUUUCUUUUCAAAUGAAGAUAUUAUUGUACAUAAUAAUUAACAAAGAUCCAAAGAUGGUACAUUCGUAUUUAUAAUAAUUGACAAUGCAACAGAAAAUGUAAACAAAUAUAAGCAAAACAACAGAUUCAUGGUUACUAAUACUUCAAGAACAAGAGGCAACACUAUGCUUAUACUUAGAAAGAGAGUACCCUCAAUCAUAGUAAUAAACCAGGCAACUUUUCUUUAGUGAUGUGGUCCAAUUUUUCCAUCAUCUCAUUUGUCAGGUAAUUCUUGUAAUCUCCUAUCACACCCCGCCGGAAAAAGACGCUAUUUUCCUGGCCGGACGGUAAUUUUCCGAUUUUGUUCACCUCUAAAUUGCUCAAAUUAUCAAAACUACACAAAUUUAAG